UAAGUAGCAUCCUUCUCCGGUCUUGGCUGGAUAGCGCGUGGCUGGCAUGGACGCAGCACGUCCUCUGGCAGGCAGCGCGGAGGCGUCUGGAGGACAGAGGCUCAGUGGCUCAUGGAGCGGACGUCAGCGCAAAUCAUUUGUGG
rnacentral:SRP_RNA from 1 species